CAGCAGCCACGGGAAUACGAAGGGUGCAAGCGUUACUCGGAAUUACUGGGCGUAAAGCGUGCGUAGGUGGUGGUUUAAGUCCGUUGUGAAAGCCCUGGGCUCAACCUGGGAAUUGCAGUGGAUACUGGAUCACUAGAGUGUGGUAGAGGAUAGUGGAAUUUCCGGUGUAGCAGUGAAAUGCGUAGAGAUCGGAAGGAACAUCUGUGGCGAAGGCGACUAUCUGGGCCAACACUGACACUGAGGCACGAAAGCGUGGGGAGCAAACAGGAUUAGAUACCCGCGUAGUCCCUGUCUCUUAUAC
rnacentral:rRNA from 1 species